GUGCUAAGGUAGCAUAAUCACUUGUCUUUUAAAUAAAGAAUAGAACAAAUGAUUUAACAUUUCAAUUAAUUUCUUCAACUUAAUUUUUUAAAUUUAACAAAAAUGUUAAAAAACAUUUAAUUUUAAGAAAGACGACAAGACCCUAUUGAACUUAACUUAAGUUAAACUGGGGCAGUUAAUUAUUUAAAAUUUUAAUUUUUUUUAAAAAUAAAAAAUCUAUUUAAAUAAUAAAUAAGUUACCAUAGGGAUAACAGCAUAAUUAUAUUUUAAAGAUCUUAUAUAAAAAAUAGAUUAUGACCUCGAUGUUGAAUUAAUAACCUUUUAUUUUAAAGUAAAUUUUAAAAAAGGAAGUCUGUUCGACUUAUAAUAAAUUACAUGAUUUGAGUUCAGACCGGUGUAAGCCAGGUCGGUUUCUAUCUUCUAUAUAUUUUAUUAUAGUACGAAAGGACCUAAUAAUUUAAUAUUAUUAUAUUUAUAAUAUGGCAGACUAAAUGCAUUAGAAUUAGAAUCUAAUAAUAAAUCU
rnacentral:rRNA from 1 species